UCCAGAGGAAAAGAAAAGGAAAGCUUUUCACAUGAAUGUUGCAUUGUAACAAACAAAAGGAAUUAUGUCAUCAUUCCUUUUUUUAAAUGUCAAACUCUUUUAUGUUGGAUGAUACUGGCCACAAAAAACAAAGCAUUAAAUGUAGCUAUUUAAACAAACCUAUGCCUAUGACAGAUCAAUGUUGUUUACAGUAUAUGGUUUACUAAGCUUUGAUUAAUGUCUUCAUAUUGUAUAUACAGUGUGUUAAAAUAAUGACUUCUCAGUUUGAUAAUCGGGCACAAAUUAAGUUUGUCCUAGUAGAAUUGCCGUUAUUAGCUGUCAAAGAUGGGGUCCACGUACGCAUGCGUAUAUGGCAGCGACGAACAACGCACAGGAGACGCACUCGAAAAUUAAGUUUUCUCAGAAGUUUUGGCAGUGAACGAGGUGAAAAUUGAGCCCCAGUCUGCAGAUAGGAUCACAACAAAAAGGCUGCGUCACAGAGGGUUGCCAGAGAUGACUCACAGUGUUUGUUCUGAGCUGUGGGAUGACGAGUGAAGUGUCAAAAGCAGCUGAUGUGUAAGCCCUUAUGCCACCACAGCAGUCGUCCACUUGGUAUUUCAGCAGAGUUUUACACCAAAUGCCGUUCCUGACGCAGCCCUCCUGACCAGGGUGGUGAGGUGGGAGUAGUUAGAACCCAGCACCUUCUGUCUGACAGGCGAGACGUGCUACCGCUGCUCCACCGCUGCUCCACCGUAGCUCCCUCAGAGGACACAGAGCCUUUGCAGAGAACAUCCCCAAUUCCCCGAGCGGAGACAAACUGCUGUAAGUGCAGCACUAUUUUAUGUAACAGAAAUUCUACCCUGAGACCAAAAGCAUACAGACUUUAAAACAAGAGUUCUGGGUCCAGUUACCUUCAUGUUACCUCCUGUUUUUUUUCACGUAAAGAAAACUUAAAGGAGCAUUUGUGUCUUAAAUUUGAUGUUGUUAUUGUUGUGAUUGGAUUAUUUCUCUGGCUUUUUUCUUCAGGGACAAACCUAAGGUUUCUUUGUUUGUGCAUUUGUUUUUAUCAGUAUUUGUUUUAUCUGGAACCUGAGAUUCAAUCAUUCAUUUUUUCAAAUAAUUGUUUGUUGAAUAUCCACCAUUGAGCUAAUUCAACUCAUUCUCAGUUGUCUGUCCCUCGACUGACUCCAGAAACCAGAGAAAGUCUUUACAGACGGUUUGGUCUGCCGGGUGUUACACAGAGGGUUGAGUCCACAGUGGCUCCGUCAGCCACGGACGAAGAAACCUACGGUUGUUGUUAUUGUUCUUGUUAGUCUAUUGUUAGAACCGAUGUACAGUUUUUCCAGCCUGGCUCUUGUUAACCCUCCAUCAGUGACCCUCACCCACGACUACUGCCUUGCCACUGGGUGAAGCCUCCUCCACAAAUUGGUGAGGUCACACAGUCUCCUCCUCUCAGUGUCGAUAUCGUUGACAUAAGCAUUUAUGGAAAUAAACU